rnacentral:rRNA from 1 species
UACGUAGGGGGCAAGCGUUGUCCGGAUUUAUUGGGCGUAAAGAGCGUGUAGGCGGCCAGACAGGUCAGCUGUGAAAACUCGAGGCUCAACCUCGAGACGUCGGUUGAAACCGUCUGGCUAGAGUCCGGAAGAGGAGAGUGGAAUUCCUGGUGUAGCGGUGAAAUGCGCAGAUAUCAGGAAGAACACCCGUGGCGAAGGCGGCUCUCUGGGACGGUACUGACGCUGAGACGCGAAAGCGUGGGGAGCGAACAGG